GGCCUUGUGGAGCAAUGGUAGCGCGUCUGACUCCAGAUCAGAAGGUUGUGUGUUCAAAUCACGUCAGGGUCA
rnacentral:tRNA from 1 species